CUGGCCAAGGCUGGUACCAGUUUUGGUGCUGGGGACCCAUUGCUGGAGGAUGUUUCCUCCACAUAGCCACUCCAGCUGUGACAGCUGUAACAUAGCUGGGGCACAAAGGAGACCCCCACAGAGCCACCCCAAUGCCAGCACUGCUUCAGUGGGAUCACUGUGGAGAGUCAGAGGAGGAUGCUGUCAGGGCAAGGCUAGUCUUGUCAUGGUCCUUGCCCUGGGCAGGACUUUGCUUUGCCUUUCCUCUCCUUCCCUGUUCUGCAGGCUUUCAGGAGCCAGCAGCCAUGCCUCUGCUGCUCUGCCCCAGCAGCCUGCCUGGCUGCCUGAGCACCGUACUGGAGGCAUGGGGAGCUGCACAGAUGGGGAGUGAAGCAGAAUGAUCCCAGAUGUAUUUGCUGAUGCACAGCUGGGUCUGCAGCAGGUGUGAACAUCAGGGCUCAGCAUACGGCAGCAGUGGGUGUGAGACAGCAGAAAUCCUGAUGAUAAUGCUGAUGUCCUCCCUGCACAGGCUGGCACAACGUUUUGGGUCACUAACUCUGAACACCUGUGUGAAACAUGCUUUUAAAUACUUCUGGAGAAGGCUCACCUGUUGCUUUCUCCUAUCACUUGCUAGGCCAGAGGGUGCUGCAGGCCUGAGUCUUCUCAGCCUGAAGAGGAAUUUGAAUUCAGGGGUCUCAACUUGUGCUCUGUGCACAUCCCAGUUACGUAAAUGGGGGGCGGGAAGGAUGUCUCUUUCCUUCUCUAAAAGAAAAGUAACCUUAAUUUUGGAGUGUGAACUUCUUGGUGAGAAGCCUUCUCCAAGCAUGCCUUGCCUCUUCUGGGAUUCAAGAGACUGGUGUCCAGUUUGACUGCCCCCCUUGGUAUGAGAUGUUGUGAGAGUGGAAGUAGGAUCAGCAGUGGGGUCAUAAUUGCAAAGAGAGGAACUUAGGUACAAAAACUUGGAAACCUUUCUCUCCUCGUAAUCAGGAUUGUUGACCAUCAUGCAGGAAGUAAAUACCUCAUUUUUUUUCAAGGGGUGAAGUAUUGUCCAAAGCUCACAGAGGACCAAAAGCAAGAUAUAAACUGGGAAUAAACAGGGAAUUUGAAAAGAACCAAACAGGGGAAGUGGACAUUAAAAGCCUGGUUGAAUUUCCCACAUUUGUUGGAAGAGAAUAUUGAACAACCACAGGAUCCUAGACUGAGGGAGGAAGAAGAUAUAGGACCUAUAAAACAUGGUUAAUGUUCAUGGAAAAAGAAAGAAAUGUGAAGACAGGUGACUGAUGAAGUUUCUUGGGUAUUAACAGAGGAUGAUUCAGCAUGGAGAAGAGCAGCCAGGCUGUGGUCUGUCAUUUGCUGCUCUGAGCUGCCCCCAGGAAUUUUCCUCUUCGUCACUAUACUGAAAAUCUGAAAAAGCUGACUGAGGGAGUGAAAUGAAGGGAGACAACCUUCACAACCAGAACAUCACACUCCCAGGGACGGGGGAACAGACGCAGGUGCAGAUGCAGAUCUCCUCUUUUCUGUGCUGUGAUGUGGAGCCCACAUCUGGAGACAGGAGGGUGUGGAAGGAUCCCAGCUGUGAGGUGGGACUGUGCAGCCCUUCAAAUGUGGCCAGCUGGCCAGGGCUCAGUCCUGACAGAUGAGCUGCAGAGCAGGUAUGAAGCUGAAAUGCUGGGAAGCCACACAAGCGCCUGCUAUUCUGUAAUGCUGGGCCUGCCUGAGGGCAUAGAGAGCAAAAUGCUUUCCUAACAAAUAGUUUCACUGAGGUUUUAAACUGGAGACCGGCAAUGAUCCAAUAUACGUAGAGAAAACAUGCCAAAUACAAGCUGAAUUAUAAGAAACUAGGGGCUGGAUCUCCUCUAUCUGCAGUAUAUUUGAUCUAGGGGGCCACGCAGCACUGAUGCGGUAGAAGUCUCUUGACUUCUCCACAAGGAUUGGUCGAUCCAUGCAUCAUUCCUGGAGAAGAAAAAGCUGCAUUCCCUCUCGCUGCUGCAAAGCAGAUGAAUCCAGGAUUUCCUGGUCAGGAAGGACCAGGCGUUCUCCAAGACAAGCAGAAAUCUUUGGGCAUGCCUAAAAGCCAAACCAGUGGAAAAGAAAAAAAAAAUCAAUACUCUUUCCUGUCUGAGUUAUUUGCUGACAUUCCUGUGUCAUUCAAUCUUCCAACUGGCAUGUCAUAACCUAUUGUAGAAGUGUUGCGGCAGUUGAUAUGUUCUGGGAUGAAAAAGAAGGAUGUGUGUGGGGAGGUGAAGCAAAUGGGAAAGUGGACACAAGCACACAGUCCCUUCAUCAAGUGAAAUGAUACAUGACAUAAUGACCAGCAUAGGAUGUGAUAGUUAUGUUAUAAUACCUGCUAUAAUAGCCGUGGGAAAAAUAUAUUUUUAUUUUUGUUUUAUUUUAUUCUUAAACAAAUAAGGGCAGCUGUACUCAGCAAUGAUUGAAACUUCCUGUCUUCUCUGGUUUAUGUCUUCUACCAGUUGUUAUAUUUUAGCAUUUGGAACAAAAAGUGCUCAUAAACUGUGUGAGCAGCUAUUGUUUAAAUAUUUUAAAAUGAUUCCCAGUGAAGACUAGAAUGGCUGUGUCUCAAGAAAUGAUGUAAAAAUAAUAAAAGUAACAUAAGAAUAAUAUAUAGGAGAACAUUCAAUCUUCUCCCUAAAAAAGACUUUUUCCUUUUUUUUCCUGAAUGCAUAGCUCACUGAAGAAAGCAUUCAGUCCUUUUUCUUUUUUUUUUCCACUCUAGUCAAAGUGAAAAAAGAUUUUCAAAUUUGGAACUGAUGAGAAAACUAAUAACUGUACCUAUCUUCAGAACUGCCAUGGAAAUGCAACAUUUUGUCGGCACUUGAUGACUACUGUCCUGUGUAUGUAUUCAAAGGAGUGUUGGAGCUCCCAGGCUGAAGUAGACCAAUGCUGUUCUCCUUGAGUUUUUCUUUCACUAGUAAUAGCCAGCACCUAGUUCUCCUUUAGUCAUUAAGGCUCAUUUAACCUUCUUUCUUUAGGACUGAGUGUUCCUUUCAAAUGUAUGUUAUCAAUACCCACUGCUAGUUUAGGUACUACUGUUAUCUCUAUAAAUGUCUCCUCUCUUUCUUAGUUCUCCCUCAGUGAUAUUGUCUGGAAAUAAAUUCCACUAUGCAAAAAUAAAAUUCAAAGGGAAAGCAUGUCCUUUUACUGGCUUUGAAUUUGUUUUUACUGAAUUGCCUUUUUUUUUUAAUAAGGUGACCAAGGGGAUCCA